rnacentral:rRNA from 1 species
GAUGAACGCUGGCGGCGUGCCUAACACAUGCAAGUCGAACGAAGCACUUAAGCUUGCUUGAGUGACUUAGUGGCGGACGGGUGAGUAAUGUGUGAGCAACCUGCCCUGGAGUGGGGGACAACAGUUGGAAACGACUGCUAAUACCGCAUAAUGUACCUUGAAGGCAUCUUUGAGGUACCAAAGAUUUAUUGCGCAAGGAUGGGCUCGCGUUGGAUUAGAUAGUUGGUGAGGUAACGGCUCACCAAGUCGACGAUCCAUAGCCGGACUGAGAGGUUGAACGGCCACAUUGGGACUGAGACACGGCCCAGACUCCUACGGGAGGCAGCAGUGGGGGAUAUUGCACAAUGGAGGAAACUCUGAUGCAGCAACGCCGCGUGAGGGAAGAAGUAUUUCGGUAUGUAAAGCUCUAUCAGCAGGGAGAAAAUGACGGUACCUGACUAAGAAGCCCCGGCUAACUACGUG